rnacentral:rRNA from 1 species
GAUGAACGCUGGCGGCGUGCCUAAUACAUGCAAGUCGAGCGAACAGACGAGGAGCUUGCUCCUUUGACGUUAGCGGCGGACGGGUGAGUAACACGUGGGUAACCUACCUAUAAGACUGGGAUAACUUCGGGAAACCGGAGCUAAUACCGGAUAAUAUUUCGAACCGCAUGGUUCGAUAGUGAAAGAUGGCUCUGCUAUCACUUAUAGAUGGACCUGCGCCGUAUUAGCUAGUUGGUAAGGUAACGGCUUACCAAGGCAACGAUUCGUAGCCGACCUGAGAGGGUGAUCGGCCACACUGGAACUGAGACACGGUCCAGACUCCUACGGGAGGCAGCAGUAGGGAAUCUUCCGCAAUGGGCGAAAGCCUGACGGAGCAACGCCGCGUGAGUGAUGAAGGUCUUCGGAUCGUAAAACUCUGUUAUUAGGGAAGAACAAACGUGUAAGUAACUGUGCACGUCUUGACGGUACCUAAUCAGAAAGCCACGGCUAACUACGUG